rnacentral:rRNA from 1 species
GACGAACGCUGGCGGCGUGCUUAACACAUGCAAGUCGAACGGUAAGGCCCUUCGGGGUACACGAGUGGCGAACGGGUGAGUAACACGUGGGUGAUCUGCCUCGCACUUCGGGAUAAGCCUGGGAAACUGGGUCUAAUACCGGAUAUGACCUUCCAGUGCAUGCUGGUGGGUGGAAAGAUUUAUCGGUGCGAGAUGGGCCCGCGGCCUAUCAGCUUGUUGGUGGGGUAACGGCCCACCAAGGCGACGACGGGUAGCCGACCUGAGAGGGUGACCGGCCACACUGGGACUGAGACACGGCCCAGACUCCUACGGGAGGCAGCAGUGGGGAAUAUUGCACAAUGGGCGAAAGCCUGAUGCAGCGACGCCGCGUGAGGGAUGACGGCCUUCGGGUUGUAAACCUCUUUCGACAGGGACGAAGCGUAAGUGACGGUACCUGUAGAAGAAGCACCGGCCAACUACGUGCCAGCCGCCGCCGUAA